GGGUAUGUGGUUCAGUCCGGAAGAACAGCUGAACUGCUGGACAGAUGUUGCUGAGAGGAUGUGAGUCCGCGCGGCACAUUCUCUCUGUAUUGGGAGGAUUGGUUGUCGGUCAGCAAGCCCAGGGUUCGAAUCCCUGCAUACCCA
rnacentral:tRNA from 1 species